CAUGCAAGUCGAACGAGAAAUCCCGGGCAACUGGGAGAGUAAAGUGGCGCACGGGUGAAUAACGCGUGGGUAAUCUGCCCUGGAGAUGGGAAUAACACUUCGAAAGGAGUGCUAAUACCCAAUACGAUCUGGAGGGCCCAGGUUUUUCAGAUGAAAGAUGGCUGAGGCUUGCAAGCUAUCACUCGAGGAUGAGCCCGCGUACCAUCAGCUAGUUGGUGGGGUAACGGCCCACCAAGGCUAGGACGGUUAGCUGGUCUGAGAGGACGACCAGCCACACUGGAACUGAGACACGGUCCAGACUCCUACGGGAGGCAGCAGUGAGGAAUCUUGCGCAAUGGGGGCAACCCUGACGCAGCAACGCCGCGUGAGUGAAGAAGGCCUUCGGGUCGUAAAGCUCUGUCAGAUGGGAAGAAAGUUUCAUCGAUAAACAAUCGAUGGAAUGGACGG
rnacentral:rRNA from 1 species